rnacentral:lncRNA from 1 species
UUGGCCAUACAGAGUGGCUGCUCGCGCAAAGUUAAUUCCUGGACUCCAUGGACGUGCAUCACUCCACAAAGUGCGUCGCCACUGCUCCUGCGACGCUCGAGCGACCUGAAAAAGUUCCAUACAAAGGUCCUCUAAUGAAAUGUCGCGCGAGCCGACCAAAAUCUGCGAGUUGCCAGGUCGAACAGGUCGCGUCCCCGCGCGCGUCCCACUUAGGUCGCCCAGCUGGACGAGCGUGUACGGCGCCCGGUCCGCCGGCACCCGAUAUGACAGCAUAUUGAUCUUUCGCCUUGUAGCGUGCUUGACGCUGUGUGGUAAAGCACUGUGUUCCGCGUCUGCGUCCA